AUACGUAGGUGGCAAGCGUUGUCCGGAAUUAUUGGGCGUAAAGCGCGCGCAGGCGGUCCUUUAAGUCUGAUGUGAAAGCCCACGGCUCAACCGUGGAGGGUCAUUGGAAACUGGGGGACUUGAGUGCAGAAGAGGAAAGUGGAAUUCCAAGUGUAGCGGUGAAAUGCGUAGAGAUUUGGAGGAACACCAGUGGCGAAGGCGACUUUCUGGUCUGCAACUGACGCUGAGGCGCGAAAGCGUGGGGAGCAAACAGGAUUAGAUACCCGGGUAGUCCACGCCGUAAACGAUGAGUGCUAAGUGUUAGGGGGUUUCCGCCCCUUAGUGCUGCAGCUAACGCAUUAAGCACUCCGCCUGGGGAGUACGGUCGCAAGACUGAAACUCAAAUGAAUUGACGGGG
rnacentral:rRNA from 1 species